UUUUUAUUUUGGUCCUUUUCACGAAAAAAUUUCACAAAUAGGUUCCUGGUGAAACCAAUUCCGAAAAUGGACCCUUAGCUUGGCGCCAGGAUGGCUGGCGCCAAGGUCCCCCCACCGCGCCUCCGACGUAGCGCCGCCCCACUGACGUGGUUCCAAGGCUUGGCGCCAUAGAUCUUGGUGCCGAGGCUGGCGCCAAGCCUUUUACCUUAACGGCCGCUCCUUCCUUUUGCGCAGUUUGAUUUCGCAUCUCUUCCUUUCUCAACAACCCGCGCCGGCUCCCUCGUAGUCCGCCGCCGCCGCCGCCGCAGGCGCCCUCGUCGCCCGCCGCACGCCGCCCCGGCCCGCCCGGCUCGAGCCGCACCGCCCCGCCCCGCCGGUGCCCCCCGGACGAGCCCCAGCACCCGCCGUGGCCUGAGGCCGGCCGCCCCCCGCCCUGUGCCCGCUCCCGGCUGGGCAGGCCGCCUCCCGUCCUGUGCCUGCUCCCACCAUGGUCGAAGGUAAUUAGUUGUAGUAUAAUUUAGAUAGAUAGGUUUAGAUAAAAUAGUUAUAUUGAUAAAUUAGAAUAGUUAGGUAAAAUUUAGAUAGAUAGGUAGAUAGAUAAAUUGAUUGAUAGAUAGAAUUGUUAGAUAUGAAAACUAAUAUAAUUUGGUAGGUUUUACAUAGUAAACUAGUUAUUACGAUAUUUAGUUAAGUAGUUGUAUAGUUAACUACAUAUGUACAUAUUAGGUGACAUAGUUAAUAUUAGGUGACAUAGUUAGUUAGUAUAUGUGACAUAGUUAGUUAGUUGUAUUUAGUAGUUAGUAGUCAAUUGAUACUAUCUGAUUUCAUACUAGACUUAGAAUGUUGAUUUAUUAUGGACUAAAUGAAUUGUGCGUCGUUAUAUUGAUAUACUAGAUGGAGAACGUAGUGAGCAUAUAUCACGGAGGCACCGUGGAAAGGGAUGAAUAUGGAUGUGUUAAGUUUGUUGCCAUGCAGUGCGAGGUUGUCAUAUUUGAUGAGAAACUCUCGUUUAGUGAGUUGCUUGCAAGGAUUCGGGAGGAGUUACAUUGUCAUGAAGAUGAUGAAAUCACAGUCGAGGGCAUACUUCACCUAGGUUCCCCUCUCAACAUUCAAAGGAAGAUGGUCCCAAUUGGGUGUGCAGGCUAGUGGGAAAAAUAUGUGAGGACGGUUAUGAAUGGUCAUUCCUCAAGUGUUGAAAUGGUUGUUCAUCGGGUGGGAGUUGAUCCAAAUCCUCAUCGGUUUUCCCGACCAAUGGGUCAACGGGCACACUUCGAUCCUCCCGUCCCAGAACCUAUUAUGGACGUGGAUGUUGCACCUACUAUUCCCGAUGCUGAAUCUACCCCUAAUGAAGUAGUUGGACAUGGUUGUCGGAUUGUUAAUGAUGUGGCGGACUCUCCUAAUGAGUUCCUUUUCACUCAGAAUGAUCCGAGUAAGUGUCUUACCGGUUUCUAUUGUUGAGAGAUAAUCCAUUCGUUCCAUCAAUUUAUUCUUUACUCAUAUUUGUACUUGAUGGCGCAGAAGAUAUUCCAGAAAAUGUGGAUGUGCCUCUAGUUGAUGCGCAAGUGCAAUGUGGAGAUGGAUUGCGUGGCUCUAAUAGUGCUGAAAUUUUGAAUGAUGAAGAUGCAUACGAGAUGGGAGUGGAUCUUGAUUCUGAUGAUGAUCGUCCUGUUGGAGAGAUGACAGAGAGUGAUAUUGAGAUGUUCAGGCGUAUCUUCCCUGGACAUCGUGACCGAUAGUUCACGAGUUUAGCGAUCUGACUCUUUCCGAUCAGGCGUUUGCAGAAGGACGUGAUGAUGAGCUCCUAGAAGCUCCUGAAGCUAGUCUUAGUAUGGUUAUUGAGGAGGGAAGGGUAUUUAAGGACCUUCCCGUAUUGAAGAGAUGGUUGCAAGCUUUUGCAGUAAUACGGAAGAGACCGUACAAAGUGUUGCAUUCAUAUGCGGAGCGCCGUUACACAGUUGUGUGUGACAAGGAACGGUGCCCAUGGAGGGUUUGUGCAAAGAAGCAAAAUAUCACCGGGAAGUGGAAGAUCACAAAAGUUGUCGAUCCACACAAUUGUGCUGACCAUGAGCUUAUAGUGAGACAUCCGCAGCUAACAUCUACCCUCAUUGCGAAGCGGUUGAUGGGAAUAUUGAAGGAACAACCCAACAUGAAAGUGAGAACAAUUAUCAGAACUGUUGAGGAGAUUUAUGGAGGUUAUGUGAUAACAUAUGGUAAAGCUUGGAGGGCUAAGCAGCGAGCGUGGAAGAUGAUAUAUGGGGAUUGAGAGUCUGGGUACGAGCAAUUGCCAGUGCUUUUUAAUGCAAUAAAAGCGGUGAAUCUAGGCAUGCAUUUUGAGUACAUCCCAAAGCCAAAUGCUUGGAAGGAUAGGAGGCAGAUAUUCGGGCGUGCGUUCUGGUGCUUCCCUCAGUCUGUGGAAGCCUUUAGGCACUGUCGUCCUGUUUUCUCUAUUGAUGGUAUAUUUUUGAUUGGCAAAUACAGGGGCACACUUCUUAUAGCCAUAUCUUGUGACGCGAACAAUAGUUGAUUCCUUUGGCAUUUGCAUUGGUUGAGAGGGAGAACAAUGACAGUUGGGGAUGGUUCUUAAGACUAGGCCGGAUACAUAUGGUUGGUCCUGGUAGGGAGGUUGGCGUCAUAUCCAAUAAGCACCAGACCCACCGAGGUCGUCUCAUAGCGGAAGGGCAGGUAAUAAUCUACAAUUCAUGAUUCAAGCAUUGCAAGCGUCCACGUCUUCUUUCCUAAGAAAUGUCUGACUCGGUUUGUUUGCAUGCAGGUCCUUCCGCUCCUUCGUUCUAGAGCCCAUGAUGGGUUUUUGGCGCUGCAGUACGACGACCGCUACACUCCUUUGUUAGAGAUGGCGGGCCUAGAUGUCAUCUCGUAUUAGGUUCGCCGUGUGAUGCCCAAGUUCAACUCAGCGGCUAUAACGGCGUUGGUUGACAGGUAAUACUUUAUUUCUAUUACCUCCGUUCAUAUUCAAUUUAUUAUGUCCUUACAUGUUAACAAGUAAUAAUGCUGCAAAAUGUAGGUGGUGGCCCGAGACUCACAGCUUUCACCUGCCGUUCGGAGAGAUGACAGUGACCUUACAGGACUGUCAGAAGAUGCUGGCUCUGUCGAUUCGCGGCCACGCAGUGACUGGACCGUGCGUCUCAGAGGGUUGGAGAGCACGAAUGGCAGCCUUCCUUGGGCAAGAGGUUGAGGAGCAGGGGAGUUGCACAUCUGGAGUGCUAAUCUCCUGGCUGCGGGAACACUUCGGCCAGUGCCCCCAGGACGCGUAUGCGGGGACAGUUGGGCACUAUUGCAGGGUGUGGAUCCUGCACUUGUUUGCCUGCGUUCUUUUCCCAGACGCUACAGGUGACACUGCGUCUUGGAUGUGGAUUCACUGCCUCACUGACUGGCACCAGGCACGUCUUUACAGUUGGGGAUCAGCUGUGCUGUGUUUUCUACACCGGCAGCUGUGCGAGGCAUACCGUCGGACUUCGGGCUCCGCGUUAGUUGGUGGGUGUGUCUACCUAUUGCAGUUAUGGAUGUGGGCCCGUCUUCCUGUUGGUCGUCCCGAGAUUAUGCCACGUCGACCGUGGUUCCCAGGUGAGAUGCCGAGAUGGCAGCCGACAUGGGUAUAUAUUUGGGAUUAGGUUAAGGUUAGCCAUACGAGGUUGGACCGCGCGUACCUGGAUUACAUCAAUGAGAUAGACGCGCUCACGGCUCAUAGUGUAAGUCAAAUUUUUAUUAACAUGCUUUGUAAUCUUUUAGUAUAACAACUAACAUCUUGUUUUGACAUGUUGCAGGUAAAUUGGAAGCCUUACGAAGGAGAGGACGCACUUCCUUUUACCCUUAGCUUCAUGUGUGGGUUGACGACGAUCUUUACAGGAUGAAGUGCCCUCUCAUAUGCUUCUAUGCUGUCGAGUACCACCUGCCAGAUCAAGUAGCACGACAGUUUGGGAUGAGGCAGAUUUGGCCACCACCGGUGACCUCGACUAGUGUGGAGCUACACAGGUAAGUUUUUUCGUAUUUGAAUUAUUUCAAUACCAUUAACUAAAUUUUGCCUAGCAGUAACAUGUAAUGUGACGUGCAGCGUGGAUCGUAAGAAGAAACGGAAGGUCUCUGAGUAGGCCGCGUUCCACCAGGCGUACAUUGACGAAUGGGAGAACUUCGACGAAAACAUGGACGAGAACGACGAGCCGCACACAAACAGUGAGUACAGGCAAUACCAAACUUGGUACCAAGGUGCGACGCGUCACAGGCUGAGGGCAGCGUGGACGGAAGAUGACUACACCGACAUCCAAUCAUCCGAUGAUGAAGACACGGUGUACGAUCAAAGUACUCGUGCUGGAAGGCAGGUGGAGGCAGGACCAAUCCUGGAUAGGAUGGUAAGACAAUUGCUUGACUUUUCUAUGUUCUAUGUUAAAAUACUUAGAGAUUUAGUUAGUUAGAUAAGGACUUAGUGACCAUCUGACUUAAUCAUUUAGUCAUUUAGUGACUUAGUGUGUAAGUAAGUUAAUGACUAAAUCAUUUAUUGCUUUAGUGACUUAGUCAUUUGUUGCAGGGCCGUACCCUCCAAAGCUCGGUUAGAGAUAUAGAGCAUUUCCGUCCUAGAGUUACGGACCCCGAGACGCGGAGCUUUCUAGAGGCAAUUCUCAAAUUAUUCUUUCUAAUACUUUAUUAAUACGUUACAUUCUUCUUUCGUGUAACUAGUUUUUACUACGGCAACGACUGUUAAAUCGGCUUCGCCGUGCGGCUGCUCGUUGUGGUUGCAGGAUUGCCACGACGCGAGACGUGCACGUUCCAUCCCUACGCGAAGGAGGCGUCAGUACGUCUAGCCAAGGCCCCUCAGGUUCGAAAGCAAUUGCAUCCAAGGAUGAGAACGACGACGACGACGACGAUGAGCAGAGGGCCGAGGAGCUUGGCCCGUCUCAGCUUCAGGAGGCUCCCUUAACUCAGCCUACACAGGUUGUAGGCACUAUAUUUGUUGGGGGGAAAUAUCAACGCUCCCCAAAGACAGCACUUAAAGAAGCGGACGCGGAGGCCCGGGCCCACCUAAGCGUAAUCAGAGCUCCGCCUCGCCCGACCAAGGCGCCAGGAUCGGGAGCGCCCGACCCCCCUCCGCAAAGUUUCCGCCUCGCCCGACUGCGACCCCGGGGUCGGGGGCGCCCGACCCCUCGCCACGGAGUUCCGCCUCGUCCGACCCCAAGCGAAGGGGUCGGGCGCACUGGGGCCCCCGGGGGAGGCAUCCCCCUCGGAUACGGUCCAGAUGGACAAGACAGACAAAAUCCUGUGGGUCCCCCCGUCGGCCUCGCCAUAAAUGCGCCGUAGGACUGACGGAGGGCAGGGCGACUACGCCCCUCACGCAGCCCGGCGCAAGUACCCGUGCACGACCGCUAUGUACAGGCUACAGUGCAGGCGGCCGGCUCCCAUUCGCCGCAGGGUACUCAUGGCCUGCGCCGACCGGAGCAAAGGAGAGAGCGGCCUGUCCUCGGCCCCGCAUAACCUCGGGUCCCGCGUGCCCAGCAGCACGGAUGCGACACUCUCCCUCUCAGCACCCGUCGCCUGAACAGCAGCAUCCACCGUCCUCCCCAAACGGACACUGGGGUAACGACGGAACGCCCUCAUCAUGAUCUGAUACCUACGAGCAUCGAAGUAGCUAUAUGCAGGGAGCAACAACACUUGGCACACGGCGACCACCCCCUCCGGCAUGCGCGCCGGCACUCGUCAGGGGCCGGCAGAGGCAUCGGACGCCUAGGAUCUUGCUCCUCCUUCCUGCAGCUACUUUUACCAUUCUACGCUUUACCCUUUACAGUCCUCUGAUCCGAUCCCAAAUGUAACUCCGGCCACCCCCCUUGCGGUAUAAAAGGCGGAACCCGGGGCCGGAGAGGGGAUCGGCUUUUUCUCCCUCACGCCAUAGUACACCACAACUCUCCCUGAGAGCGCAAGCACCAAAGAGACUUGGGACCAGUCCCUCUCUCGUCGAUCUGUAACCCCCUACUACAGAACCUCGCGUGGGCAACACGAACAUCCCCGAUACUGGACGUAGGGCUUCCUUUGCCCGAACCAGUCUAAAUCCGUGUCUCCCGCGCAACCACCUGAGGCUUACGCGUAUAAAAGAAAUUUACUAGUCUAAGUCUUGAUCCGCUGAUCUUGACAACGACAGUUGGCGCGCCAGGUAGGGGACCUUUGCGCGUUCAUCUCCAGCCUCAGAUGGCCAAUCGCGAUAGCAGCUUUGCUCCGGGCUCCCUGGUCCGUUUCGGGAGCCUGGACUUCCUCGCCACCGGGGAAGGGAUCGAGCUGAUCCCUGUCCUCGUCCUGCCCGCUCAUCCUGGUACCCUCGGCCCCGCUGCCAGGACAGCGGUGGGCGGCCGAUCACCUGCCAGAAGGACCUCACCAGAGGGACAGCCCUUCGGGCUACGCAACGCCGCGGGGGCUUACGGUCGCCUCCUAGCGCGGUCCUUGACCACGCUGCACGCGAGGAACGAGCUCGUAGGCACGGCGAGGACAAUCUCCGACGCUGGCUCCAGCAGCGGGAGUCCCCGCCCCUCGCGCGAGUGCCUUGUAGUCGACGCGCACUCCGAAGGGUCCAACGGUGAUGGUGCCGAGGGGAGACAACGGGCUCCCCCCUCGCGCGCCGCAGCUACAACUGGAGCCUUGCCCAGGGCCCCAGGGUGCUCUCAGCAACCAGAGGCGCACGCGGGCGCUCGCCAAGAGGUAGAGCACCCCACCACGAGGGGGGAGCGCGACAACGGGUGCGCGAUGUCCAGGAACGCAUCUGUGCGGACGGAGAGCGUCCGCCGCUCUUUGCCCGCGCUAGCCAAAACGUCGCCGCCGCGGCAGUGUUGCUCUGACAGCUCCCCGAGCCAGCGACGCCCGAGGAGCGACGGGCACGCCAGGAGAUGCGCAACCUGCUCGAGUGCGCUGCCGUCCAGCAGGCGGAAAGUUCAGCGUCUCGGCGACGCGGGCAGAACGCCAGCCGGGCGACGCAGGGCGCCCCCCGGAACGGCGGGGGGAAUCUGUCCAUUAACCCCCUCCGGGGGCUAACCAGGCCGCGUCCGCCCGACAAACCCCGCCACCCGUGGUAGGCGAGGCUCGAUCCGUCCACCAGCGCGUUGGUCUCGUCCGCGACGCCCGCGACAACCUGAACGCGCGGAGACGCUCCUGCGCGGGCAGGGAAGACGGGGCCGAUCGAGGCUACCACGUUCACCGUGGCGGGCGCUACGACAGCGGGGAAGACCGCAGCCCGAGCCCCGGAGCGGCAGGGCCUCGGGCCUUCUCCGCGCGCAUCCUAAAUGCGCCCUUUCCGCCAUGCUUCAGGCAACCCACGAGUGUAGCCAAAUACUCGGGGGAGACAAAUCCUGGAGUAUGGCUCAGCGAUUACCGGCUUGCAUGUCAAGCUGGCGGGGCGGACGAUGACCUAUUUAUCAUCCGCAAUCUACCCCUUUUUCUGGCAGACUCCAUGCGAGCCUGGCUAGAACAUAUCCCUUCAGGACGCAUCCGCAACUGGAACGACCUGAAAGAAGUUUUCGUAGGAAACUUCCAAGGGACGUACGCGCGCCCCGGCAACUCCUGGGAUCUCCGGAGCUGCCGCCAGGGGGCUGACGAGUCCCUCCGAGAUUACAUCCGGCGCUUCUCCAGAAAGCGCAUCGAGCUCUCCAAUGUCGCCGACGCCGACGUCAUAGGAUCCUUCCUAGCAGGGACCUCUUGUCGGCCCCUCGUCCACGAGCUAGGGCGCCGAGGCCCGCGAACCACGGAAGAGCUCCUUAACAUCGCCACUAGCUACGCCUCUGGCGAGGAGGCUGUCGGAGCGAUCUUCGAUCGUUCCAAAGGCAAGGCGAAACGGGAGGAGGACGCCGACGAAGGCACCUCCAACCGCCAGCAGAAGAAGAAGGGCAAGCAGCGGCGCGAGGCCCCCCUCGUGGCCGCGGUCGAGCGAAAGCGGGGGCAGCCGCCCCCCGAGGGCGCUCCCGGCUUGUUCGACAAACUGCUCGAGGGACCGUGCCCGAACCACGAGUUCCCCGUCAAGCACACCUACAAAGACGGUAACCUCAUGAAGAGGUACUUUGUGGGCAAUCCGGUGAAAGGUGACCGGAAGCGGAAGCCCGACGAGGAAAAGAAGGGCGACGAAGAGAAGGAAGACGGCUUCCCUAAAGUUGACGGCUGCUUCAUGAUCUUCGGGGGCUCCGCUGUGUACGACACCAAGCGCCAGCAAAAGCUGGAGCGCCGGGAGGUUUACGCGGCCGAGCCUGCGACUCCGGCUUUCCUCGAUUGGUCCGGACCGGCCAUCACCUUCGAUAGGUCCGACCACCCGGGACGCGUCCGGCAUCCAGGGCGCUACCCACUCGUCGUCGACCCUAUCGUCGGUACGACGCGCCUCACCAAGGUGCUCAUGGAUGGAGGCAGCGGCCUCAACCUCCUCUACGCCGAGACUCUCGACGCUAUGGGGAUCGACCGCUCCCGCCUCAGUCCCAGCGCAGCACCCUUCCAUGGCGUCGUGCCAGGGAAGCAGGCGACGCCUCUUGGGCAGAUCGACCUGCCCGUCACGUUUGGGACCCCUUCCAACUACAGGAAGGAGGUCCUCACCUUCGAGGUGGUAGGGUUUCGCGGAACCUACCAUGCCAUCUUGGGACGGCCAUGCUACGCGAAGUUCAUGGCAAUCCCCAACUACACCUACCUCAAGCUCAAGCUGCCAGGGCCCAACGGGGUCAUCACCGUCAGCACAACCUUCCAGAAGGCAUUCGAGUGCGACGUCGAGUGCUGCAAGUACGCCGCAGCCAUCACCGUCUCGGGCGACAUGGCGGUCCAGCUUGCGGAGGCGAUCGAAGACCAGCCCGACGCCAAGCAGUCGGGCACCUCCUUUGAGCCCACCGAAGGUAUCAAAGAAGUCCCUCUCGAUCCCGGCUGUUCCAAUGGUGGGGUUGUGCGGAUCAGCGCGGCCCUAUCCCCCAAAUAGGAAAGCGCGCUCGUCGACUUCCUUCGCGCGAACAGCGACGUCUUCGCGUGGAAGCCCUCGGACAUGCCAGGCAUCCCGAGAGAAGUCGCCGAGCAUUCCUUGAACAUCAGGGCCGGCUCCAAACCAGUGAAGCAAGGCUUGCGCCGUUUCGACAAAGAAAGGCACAGGGCCAUUGGUGAAGAACUCCAGAAGCUCCUGGCGGCCGGGUUCAUCAAGGAAGUACGCCAUCCCGAGUGGCUAGCCAAUCCUGUCCUUGUACCGAAAAAGAACGGGAAAUGGAGGAUGUGUGUCGAUUAUACCGGUCUCAACAAAGCGUGUCCAAAGGAUCCGUUUCCUUUGCCACGCAUAGAUCAAAUAGUCGACUCAACCGCCGGGUGCGAAACCCUCAGCUUCCUCGACGCAUAUUCCGGCUAUCACCAGAUCGCGAUGAAAGAGGUCGACCAGCUCGCUACCUCCUUCAUCACCCCCUUUGGUCCCUACUGCUACGUUAAGAUGCCAUUCGGCCUCAAAAACGCGGGGGCUACCUUCCAGCGAUGCAUGCUGAAGUGCUUCGGAGAUCUCAUCGGGCGGACCGUUGAGGUCUACGUCGACGACAUCGUUGUUAAAUCCAGGAAGGGCGACCAGCUCAUUCCCGACCUGGAGCUAGCCUUCGAAAGACUGAGGGAUAAGCGAAUCAAGCUCAAUCCCGAGAAAUGUGUGUUCGGUGUCCCAAGGGGCAUGCUGUUAGGCUUCAUCGUCUCUGUGCGCGGCAUCGAGGCGAACUCGGAGAAGAUAGCGGCCAUCAGCGACAUAGGGCCGAUCCGGAACAUAAAGGGAGUACAGCGCGUCAUGGGGUGCUUAGCAUCCCUAAGCCGCUUCAUCUCGCGCCUCGGCGAGCGAGGACUUCCUCUCUAUCGGCUCCUGAAGAAAUCCGACCGCUUCGAGUGGACCAGCGAGGCACAGGAGGCACUUGACCGACUCAAGGACCUCCUGACGAAGGCCCCAAUUCUAGUUCCGCCCGCCGACGGCGAGACCCUUCUGCUCUACGUCGCGGCGACCACCCAGGUGGUCAGCGCGGCCCUAGUAGUGGAGCGGGAGGAGGAGGGGCACGCUCUUAAGGUACAACGCCCGGUGUACUUCAUCAGCGAAGUCUUGUCCGAGUCCAAGGCACGAUAUCCGUAGAUCCAGAAGCUCGUCUACGCCGUCCUCAUCACGAAGAGGAAGCUGCGUCACUACUUCACCUCCCACCCAGUAACAGUCGUCUCUUCAUUCCCGCUUGGAGAAGUAAUCCGGAACCCAAAUGCAACAGGAAGGAUCGCGAAGUGGGCGCUUGAGCUUAUGGACCAGGGUAUCACCUACGUCCCCCGCACCGCCAUCAAAUCCCAGGUAUUUGCUGACUUCGUGGCCGAGUGAACGGAGGCACAAGCACCGUCGGCAACAAAGGAGCAGGAGUACUGGACGAUGUACUUCGACGGGUCACUGAUGAGGGCCCGCGCCGGAGCAGGCCUUGUCUUCGUCUCUCCGUUGGGCGUGCGCAUCAGGUACAUGAUCCGCCUCCAUUUUCCUGCAUCCAACAAUGUCGCUGAGUAUGAAGCCUUACUCAACGGGCUCCGCAUCGCCAUCGAGUUGGGCAUCCACCGGCUAGACGUCCGGGGCGAUUCCCAGUUGGUCGUCGAGCAAGUCAUGAAGGAGUGGAGCUGCCACGACCCUAAAAUGGCAGCUUACUGCAACGAGGUCCGUAAGCUCGAGGACAAGUUCGACGGGUUGGAGCUCAACCACGUCGCAAGGCGCUUCAACGAGGCCGCUGACGAGCUGGCGAAGGCGGCGUCCGGCCGGAUGCCCGUCCCCGACGGCGUUUUCGUUAGCGACCAGCUGAAGCCUUCAAUCCGUUAUCUGGAGCCAGCAGGGGUCGGCGAGGCAUGCCCAGCCCUGGGGUCGGGACCCGAGCCGGGGGAGGUCGGCAGCGCGCCACCUGUCCCGGACCCGAGCACCGGUCCCGAGGAAAUCAACGCUGCCUUGCCCGACCCGGCCCUGGAAGCCAAGCCAUCCGACCCCGUGGUUAUGGAAAUCGCGGUGGGCCCCGCGGCGGGGGCCGACCCCCCGGCCGACUGGAGAGCCCCGUACCUCGACUACCUUGUCCGCGACACGCUCCCGGCCGACAAAACAGAAGCCCGCAGGAUUGCGCGCCGUGCGAAAUCCUUCACCAUCAUCGACCAGGAGCUCUACAAGAGAAGCCACACUGGGAUCCUCCAGCGCUGCAUCCCGAUCGAGCAGGGAAAGAUGCUGAUCCAGGAUAUCCACGCCGGGGCUUGUGGUCACCACGCUGCGCCAAGGACGCUUGUUGGCAACGCCUUCCGACAAGGUUUUUACUGGCCAACCGCGGUCGCGGAUGCUACCCAGGUAGUCCGCACCUGUGAAGGAUGCCAGUUCUUUGCCCGCCAAACUCACCUGCCCGCGCAGGCGUUGCAAACCAUCCCCAUCACGUGGCCGUUCGCGGUCUUGGGGCUGGAUCUCAUCGGACCCUUCAAAAGGGCGCCCGGGGGCUUCACCCAUCUGCUCGUCGCUGUCGACAAGUUCUCCAAAUGGAUCGAAGCAAGGCCAGUGGCGCAAAUCAUGUCUGAGCAAGCGGUACAGUUCUUCACCGACAUCAUCCACCGCUUCGGGAUCCCAAACUCCAUCAUCACCGACAACGGCACGCAAUUCACUGGGAAGAGAUUUCUUCAGUUCUGCGACGACCACCACAUUCAAGUGGAUUGGGCGGCAGUGGCGCACCCCCGCACGAACGGGCAAGUCGAGCGGGCCAACGGCAUGAUACUCCAGGGUCUCAAGCCACGGAUCUUCGACCGCCUUAAAAAGUUCGGCGGACGGUGGGUUGCGGAGCUCCCAGCAGUCCUCUGGAGCUUGAGGACGACCCCCAGCCGGGCGACAGGAUUCACCCCGUUCUUCAUGGUCUACGGGUCAGAGGCCAUCUUGCCCACCGACCUAGAGUACGGGUCGCCAACGGUCAAAGCAUACGACGAACAGGGAAACCAGGCGUCACUCGAGGACGCACAAGAUCAACUCGACGAGGCGCGAGAUGUAGCCCUACUACACUCAGCUAAGUACCAGCAGGCCCUACGGCGUUACCACAGCCGCAGGAUACAAGGCCGCGCCUUCAACGUCGGUGAUUUGGUGCUCCGCCUCGUACAAGAUAACAGGGGUCGGCACAAGUUGACUCCCCCAUGGGAAGGCCCGUUCAUCGUUGCACAAGUGCUACGGCCAGGCACCUACAAGCUGGCAACUCCCGACGGGCAAAUCUUCAGCAACGCCUGGAACAUAGAACAGCUAAGGCGCUUUUACCCAUAGCUUUUACUUCCAAGUUAUGCAUAGUCUUGCUGUCUUUUCUGUUCUUUCCUUUAAAGCUCAGGGGCCUCCGACCCUGGCCUCGUUCCAGGGUCGCAUACCCCUCGGGGGCUACCAGUUUUGUUCUUCUGCGAAAAAAGAAACCCUGAGCCACCUUGGCUCAGGUCCUUUCGUUUAAGCUCAGGGGCAUCCGACCCUGGCCUCGUCCCAGGGUCGCAUACCCCUCGGGGGCUACCAGUUUUGUUCUUCUGUGAAAAAAGAAACUCUGAGCCACCUUGGCUCAGGUCCUUUCGUUUAAGCUCAGGGGCAUCCGACCUUGGCCUCGUCCCAGGGUCGCAUACCCCUCGGGGGCUACCAGUUUUGUUCUUCUGCGAAAAAAGAAGGCCUUUUCCUUUAAGCUCAGGGGUAUCCGACCCUGGCCUUGCUCCAGGUCCGCAUACCCCUCGGGGGCUAUCAGGGGUCCCGACCCCAGCCGCAGGGCGCCAUCUAAAAAGAAAAUGCCUUUUCUUUUUUCAAAACCGAACACUCCCUUUCGAAAACCUUUGGAUGCAAAAAAGAUAAGGAUGCGUGAACGGUACUCAGGCAAGUUGCGAUCAGACCGCGGAAAAACCUACGCCCCAGUGGCUAUGGCACCUUCGCUCAUCAAAAACUUACUGACGCACCCGGCAACGCAUCCUAAAGCUUUCAAGCCCAAAGGAAUAACAAAGGGAAUCGGGUUCUUUUGUGCAAACAAAGAGUUAUAAGAACAGGCCCGUAUGGCCAACGCAAACGAGUUCAAAAGGACUGACAUAAGUACAAACUUUUUGGGCGCGAGCCCGGUACAGCUAAUUCGCAGAAGGGUCGGCAGGAGCGGUGGCUUCAGGGUCGGCAGGAGCGGCGGCUUCAGGGUCGGCAGGAGCAGCGGCUUCGGGGUUGGCAGAAGGGCCAGCCUCAGGGUCGGCAGGAGGGACGGCUUCAUCCUCCAGGAGCUUCGCGAGGGCCUCCGUCGGCACGGUCACCCCGGCGUCGAUCUCGUCCAGCUCGGCUUCGGUGUAGCCGGCGCAGUACCCUUCACUCAUCCCAGCAAAGUUAAUGCCGGAAUAGUGAGAGCCGAAGACCCUGAAGGCUCGCCGCAUGCCAAGACGAAGCGCGUCCACGGCGAUCUCGCGACGGCGACGGCGCACCUCGAGGACACGAGCUGGCAGAGAGCUCGAUCCCUCCUCCGGAACCACACCGAAGUCCUCGCAGACGACGCGGACCGCAUCUCACAGCGCGCCGUGCUCGCCACGCUCCUCGUCAAGCAGAGCCCGCAAAUUGGCGAUCUCGCCUGCAGAAGCCACCCAAAAAAUCCCACCGAGUCAAAAGAGCAGAACUCAAAUGACACAAGAACGCAGGAACGGAAAGAACCUCACCGUCGGCCUGGGCCUUCAGCUCGCGCUCCCGGUCGGCGCUGCGGGACAAGGCGGACUUAAGCCCCUGCACUUGCAAACGGAGUUGAUCGUUCUCCGUGCGGAGGGCUCCACCCUCCCCCCUCAGCCACGCCAGCUCCUCGGCGUCGCGGCGGGCCCUCUCAGCAGCAGCGGCUUUGAGCCCCUCGGCAUCGCGGCGGGCCCUUUCCACGACGGCCUAGAACUCCUCGAGGUCGAGGCGGGCCUUCUCGGCGACGGCCUGGAGCCUGGCCUCCGCACGCCGCGCCUCCUCUAACGCCGCCUGCUCACGCCCCUCCAGGUCGUGGACGGCCCCCUGGGCAGCGCCAAGCUGCAGAGACAUGUCCCUGGUGCGCUCCCUUUCGGUGUUGAAGCGCUCCUAGAGACCCUGCUGCCACCGGAGGAAAUCAGAUUUCCCCCGGCUGCCCUCCUGGAGAGCCUGCAGAGCAAUACGCCGUUUAAGGCAAAAAAGGCAAAGAGGAGGUAAGCAUCACCAAGCAAUAGGAAUAACAUACCUGGCUGCCAGGGACCACGGUGUUGGCCAGAACUCCCAGCACCGAAGUCAGCGCCGCCUGAACCUGGGCGACGCCACCAUGCAUCGACUGCCACCUAUGCCACUCGGCGGCGUCAUCCAGCGCGAAGAGGUGCCUCGGCGGGUCAUCGCGGGAUGACCAGCGGAGGAUGGACCCUCUCCACACCCUCGGGACGGAGGAAGCCGAGGUUGGGACAGGGGCUGACCCCGACGUCGCCGUCGAGGACGGCACCACGACGCUAGAGGCCACUGGAUCCGCCGACGGCCCCGGCGCCUGCAUACUCAUCGCCGCCGAGGCCGCCAACGGUACCCCUGUGGGCACCUCCACCUCAGCCGCCAGCGUCACUCCCGCGGGGGUGACCGGGGCGGAGGCCCCUGCCUCCGUCAUGGCUGCCUCUGCCGCCGCCGCGUCUCCGGGAGCAGGCGCCCCCUCCGCCUCUGACCCCCCCCCCCACGGCGGCGGGGGUAUCCGCCCUACCUCCCGUCGCCACCGCCUCCUCUGCCUCGUCGGCGUCGAGGUCGAUCACCUCCCCGGCCUGAGGGCCCGAGGGGACCACGCCCCGAGCCGGAGGGGCGGUCGGUGGGGCCGAAGGCGGAGUGGAGUCCGCUCCCCCUCCCGCGGCUGACGCCGCCGCCGCUCCGCCAGCCGCCUCCGCCGGGGCCACCUCCGCGGGGGGACCUGCGGCCACACCAGGAACCCCGCCGCUCGCCGCUGGCGGGGCCCCGGCCCGCCCCCCGGAGGAGGUCGACGUCCGCAGCGCCUUCUUGGGCGCCAGCUGCAGGGUGAGGCCACGGGGAGAAGUGCUGCACAUCGACGGCCAAGCGUCAGUGGAAAUGAACGAAAAAAGAGGAGAAGAAUGACACAUAGGAAAAGCCAACUUACGCCCUCAAAGCGCAGGGGCGGCGCGCGCGCUUCGACUCAGAGCCGGACGCCAACCCCGGGGCAUCUGGCAGCGGCCGCUUGUCGCCGCCUCGCUGCUCUCCACCGGCGGGCACGGCGGAGGAGGCAGGCUCCACGGACCCCCGAGGAGCGCCCCGAGCGGACUCCUGGGGAGCGCCCCGCGCCGGACCCAAGGUGGCGGCAGGAGCAGGCUCUGAAGACCCCCGAGGGGCGCUCCGUGUCGACACCGGGGGAGCAUCCCUUGCCGACCCCGGGGGAGCAGCCCGCACCCGCUGCUGGGGGACGCCCGGUGCCGACCCCGGGGGAGCGGCCCGCGCCCGCUCCUGGGAGACGCCCUGAGCCGACCCCGAGGGGGCGCCCCGCGCCCGUUCCUGGGGGACGCCCUGCGCCGACCCCUGGGUGGCGUCCGCACCUACUCCCGGGGGACGCCCUGCGCCGACCCCUGAGGGGCGGUCCGCGCCAGCUCCUGGGGCGCGCGCUGUGUUGGCCCCUGAGGCACAACCCCAGGGCCCGGGGGAGCCAGAGCCCGGGCGGACGCUUCCGCCGCUUCACCCCCCGCGGCCGUCUGCGGGGACGCAUCACGAAUCACCAAAGCCCCCGAGCGGGGGAGAACCAACUCUUCCACCUCUUCCUCUUCCUCAUCUUCAUCCUCUUCAUCUUCUUCGUCGUCGUCGUCGUCGUCGUCUGACACGACCGCCCCCCUCCGCCGCCGCUGGAGCUCCUUGGCGGCCUUCUUCCGCUUCCGCGCCGUCUCCUUGUCCUUGCGGCGCUUCUGCGCCUCGGCAUGGAGACGGUUGCGAGCCCUCCGCUCGGCAUCUUCCGGCACCGGCGGGAGGGAGUCCGCGACCCGGGUUAGCGAGCCCUGCAAGCGCCAAACGGCUCCGCAUCAGAAACAGCAAAUAGCAAAAAAGAAAAGAAAAACGAUGUCCCAACUCCCUACCAGGUCUACGAAGCCCGGCUCCGGGCGCAUCGGCGGAUGCCCGGGGAUCGGGUAGUCGACGUCCCUGUCCUCCAGCGCCUCCCGGAGCCGUUGCCGGAUCUCGGAGGCGGCAAGCGCACCCGUCGCCAGGGCGGUGCCCUCGGGCGGCGCAUCGGGGGUCAUGGCGCCAAGCGGCCGGACCCGGAGCAUCGGCGGCGCCACCCGCCUGGCGUGGUACGCGCUGAUGACCCCGGUGCCGGUGAGCCCGCUCCGCUUCAGCUGCUCGAUGGCCUGCAGCAGGACGGAGAGCCGCUUGUUCUCCUUAUCCACCGGCCCGUACGCCCAUACCUCGGGCGCCGCGUCGAUGGUGCGGCCGGUGAAGACCGGAAGGGGGGAAUCCGGGUAGUUCUUCACGUAGAACCACUGAUUAUGCCACCCCUUGUGGGACACCAAGGUCUUCACCGUCAUGUACUCCUUGGAGCGAGUGUGACGGAGAUGGAUCCCGGCGCACCCGAUCGGCACCGGAGGCGACCGCUGCUGGCUCCUGGCCUUCCCCGCCUUCUGGUACAGACUCACUGUAAAGAAGUAAUUCCACAGCGCGAAGUGGGGCUCAAUGCCCAGGAAUCCCUCGCACAGCACGACGAACACCGCGAUAUGCUGGAUCCCGUUGGGGUUGAGGUGCUGGAGCUCGAGCCCGUAGUGGUGGAGGAGCCCGCGGAAGAAGCGGCUUGGGGGAGAAACGAAUCCCCGCUCGUGGAAGUGGGCGAAGGAGACGACGUAGCCGGCGGGAGGCGACGGAACCUGCUCCGGCCCCGGCAGCUCCCACUCACCCGCCUCCGUCCUCUCGCAAAGGAGCCCCUUCCGCACCAGGCCCUCGGCACGGGAGGAGGUAAAGUGAGAAACUCCCCAGGAAGCCAUCACCGGAGGAAGGAGGAGAUCGAUGGAGAUGGAAGAAGAGCGCGCGGCUUGGGGCGAAGGGAACGAGGCGAGCGCGGAUGAACUAGGCGGAAGGCAAGAAGGCUCGAGUGCGAAAGGAGAGAGGAACCGACGCGACGAGCUCCUGCUUUUAUAGGAAAAGUACAUGGGAAGCCAAAUCGACGCCCCGGCCGCCAUAAAUGCGGCGCCAGGUACGCCCCUGCCACGCCCGUUUCCUUUUCGAAAACCGCGCGCACGAUCGGCUGCGAAAACAUCCUAUCUUCCUCGAUUCGCGGGACGGCGCUUCCAUAACUCCACUUCCCGGGUAACGCGCCCACGACGCCCCCCACGUUCGGCCCAGGCGCAACAACCGCUCCACUCCGGCCCAAAGGCCCACAGGAGGUAAGAAAGGGAUACGGGGCUGAAAACGCCUCUACGGCCCAUUACGGUCCAGAGGUUCGAAAGCUGGCCCGACACGGGUUCGACAGCUGCCUCAGGACAUCCCCCGAGCAAGGGGUGAGAAGGGGCGGGUCCGCUAGCGGCCAAUACCCAGGCAAGCGAAAGCCAAGGGCGCCCCAACCUCACGUUCGAGUCCCGCCUGGUAUAAAGUUCAUGGUUUUUCCACGGGGAAAGGCAACGAGCCCCCAGAUCCAGUCGAACGGAUCCGGGAACUAUAUGAACUGGCCGGCGGGAAAUUGGAGUACGCCACCAGCUUGGCCCGAGCCGGACCGCCCCGAAUGGGGACCGGGACUCCACUCGAACUUACCCGUUUGCAGCUCAAACGAGCACCACGGUUCGUCCAACGCGGAUAACGUGGCCCGGCUCAACCCCUCCGUCCUAGCGAACGGACGCUUGAGGGGCAGCGAUCAAAAAGUCGACCUAGCCUCCCGAUCGGUUUCCUGCAACGAGCAGGAGCUCGGGGGCUAGCCUCGCAACCAACUACCACGCGUGUGGUCACAAAUUGCAGGUUCCCUCAGCCCGGCUGAGAUAAAGCAAGCACGCCAUAGACACAGAGCCCGCGCGAAACAGUAAAAGAAGCCUCCGGAGGAGCACUCCUGCUCCACCACAGGCUUGGGGGCUACUGUUGGGGGGAAAUAUCAGCGCUCCCAAAAGACAGCACUUAAAGAAGCGGACGCGGAGGCCCGGGCCCACCUAAGCGUAAUCAGAGCUCCGCCUCGCCCGACCAAGGCGCCAGGAUCGGGAGCGCCCGACCCCCCUCCGCAAAGUUUCCGCCUCGCCCGACUGCGACCCCGGGGUCGGGGGCGCCCGACCCCUCGCCACGGAGUUCCGCCUCGUCCGACCCCAAGCGAAGGGGUCGGGCGCACUGGGGCCCCCGGGGGAGGCAUCCCCCUCGGAUACGGUCCAGACGGACAAGACAGACAAAAUCCUGUGGGUCCCCCCGUCGGCCUCGCCAUAAAUGCGCCGUAGGACUGACGGAGGGCAGGGCGACUACGCCCCUCACGCAGCCCGGCGCAAGUACCCGUGCACGACUGCUCUGUACAGGCUACAGUGCAGGCGGCCGGCUCCCAUUCGCCGCAGGGUACUCAUGGCCUGCGCCGACCGGAGCAAAGGAGAGAGCGGCCUGUCCUCGGGCCCCGUGUACCCUCGGGUCCCGCACGCCCAGCAGCACGGAUGCGACACUCUCCCUCUCAGCACCCGUCGCCUGAACAGCAGCAUCCACCGUCCUCCCCAAACGGACACUGGGGUAACGACGGAACGCCCUCAUCAUGAUCUGAUACCUACGAGCAUCGAAGUAGCUAUAUGCAGGGAGCAACAACACUUGGCACACGGCGACCACCCCCUCCGGCAUGCACGCCGGCACUCGUCAGGGGCCGGCAGAGGCAUCGGACGCCUAGGAUCUUGCUCCUCCUUCCUGCAGCUACUUUUACCAUUCUACGCUUUACCCUUUACAGUCCUCUGAUCCGAUCCCAAAUGUAACUCCGGCCACCCCCCUUGCGGUAUAAAAGGCGGAACCCGGGGCCGGAGAGGGGAUCGGCUUUUUCUCCCUCACGCCAUAGUACACCACAACUCUCCCUGAGAGCGCAAGCACCAAAGAGACUUGGGACCAGUCUCUCUCUCGUCGAUUUGUAACCCCCUACUACAGAACCCCGCGUGGGCAACACGAACAUCCCCGAUACUGGAUGUAGGGCUUCCUUUGCCCGAACCAGUCUAGAUCCGUGUCUCCCGCGCAACCACCUGAGGCUUACGCGCAUAAAAGAAAUUUACUAUUCUAAGUCUUGAUCCGCUGAUCUUGACAACGACAAUACUACGUCGCCCAUGUUCUCCUUACACUCCAGGAACCGACGCCCUUGGUCACAAGGGUAAGGGUAAGACUAGGAGGCAGUGACGGUUUUUAUUGCGAACUUUGUAUUAUAUGAACUAUUUGUAUAUAUGGACUUUCAUUCUGAACUAUUGUGGAUUCUAUUAUGAAUGUGUCAUAUGUUUAUAUGCUUGUAUGUUUGUAUUUAUAUUCACUAUUCAUCUCGUAAUUUUGUAUGGAUUGCAUCAAAAAGUAGGGAAAAUUCUUCCGAAAUUUCGCUAACAAGUACCCUUUUUAUUUUCUGCGGGAAUUUCACUAGACUACAACUUCGAAGUGCAUUACAUCGCAAAGUAAACAUAGGUCAUCUACAAAUUGUGUGUCCAUACUUAAAGUGCAUUAUUACAUGACAACAUAAUAAAAGUCUCACAGUAGAAAAUAUUGUUCAUAAAUAAACCAUAGAACUAGAACCUAAAUAUGGCUACUGAGUGCAACGAGGCCACUUUCCCUUCCUUAAGGCAUCGGGAUUAUCCUCAACCGCUGCUUUCGCUCGGCGUGCCCGCUCAAGCUUCUUCUCUCUCUCCUCCCUGUUCGCAGCAACCCGCCUCCUUUCCUCCUCUUCCUUGUGCUCCUUUUCCGCAGCCUCCUCUAUGAGUCUUUUCUCGUACACCUCCUUCCUCUCUGCAUCCUAGCGCAUCAUAUACUCCAAAAACUCCUUGUCUUCAGGAUUGAUCUCAGUGUCGACCCACUGCUCAAAAUCACAUAGCGGUGGAGGGGUCUACAACAAAUGCAAUUGUUAUAAAACAAAAAAAUUAUGGACAAUAAUUAUAAGACAACAAAAAUUCCUUACCAACAUGUUAAUCCGGCGCUGACGAAGUGUAGGUUCAAAUGCAAAGUUGGAACACAUCUAAUACCUCUGCCUAUACGUGGCAUGUUCAUCGGACUUGGCUACCUUGCAAGGAUCGCCGCAAAAGUACAUCGGCACUGGAACACCACUAGGCAGAGGCAAUUGAUCGAAGGUAUUUCCGGUCUUCUUGGCGCCAUAACUACAAUUUAGUUUAUUUCGUUCUAUGAAUCAAACGCACUUAACAAUAAACCUACAAUUAAGGUUUUUUCAUUUGAUCCACAACAAUGAGCAUAUAACAUAACUACGUGCGCUGAGAUUACCUUAGUUUCUUAACUUUUCCAUGCCUCGGCAUCCUACAUUUGCAUGAAACCCUAAGUUCAAAAAUGCAACAAAUAUAUAGCGAAUCGAUGCGAAAAAAAGGUACGAGGGAGAGAGGAUACCUUGCUCUUCAGGAUCCACGGAUCAAAUGAAAGUUUCCUAAGCUACAAUGUCGAUUCGUAGUCUAGGGCGAAGUAGGGAGAGUAAAAACCCGAGAGAGUCGAGAAGAAUGAGGAGGAACUCUCGAGCAGGAAGAAGGGUGGCGGUAUAUGUAGGGAGGCUUGACGUCAAGAUCUAUGGCGCCAAGCCUCGGCGCCACGUCGGAGGCGCGGGCGCCAAGACGUUAUAGCUUCCUGACGCCAAGCUAAGGGUCCAUUUUUGAAAUUGGUUUCGCCAUGGGUCUAUUUAUGAAUUUUUUCGCGAAAAGGGCCAAAAUAAAAAAAAAGCCGGGCAUCAGAGCUGCCAAAUUCAUGCCGGUGCCGGGCAGAGGUGCCAUGCCGCGCCAAUGCCAUCGGACUGCCGAAGCAAAACGCAGCAUGGCACGGGUAGCACCAUGCUGCAGUUGGCAAGUGGCAAACAGCAAAUUUUGCCGGAGACACGCAGAAUUGGGCAUCGAUGCGUGCCGGAACCAGUGUCCUCUCCUUUCCCGAAAGGUCACCCUAGUUAGGCCAGCCUGAGGCUGAGAAACUUCGCUUUUCUACCAAUAAACACAUGUUUUUCCUGAGGGUUUGAGCUUGUUGCGCUGCUACAAGCUAAAAAAUGGCACGCGCCGAACUUUGCCACCAUGACAAGCUGACAGUGACGCCUCAUGCCUGUUGCGCCGCAUCGAAAGGCAGCGUGAAAGAAUUGCACGAAGCCGUCAGAGUCCAUCACCGUUCUGGGCCUUCUUUCCGGUGAGCCUUGAUCGCGUUUCUUGCGAAUUGCGAUCCGUGGUGACUGGUGGUUUCACUCUCGCCAAAAGACAAAUAGUAACAGUGAUGAGGCAUCUAAUCUCAGAGAGAAGCGGCCAUCCGAUCAUCACGCUCACCAAUCUGCGAUGUACAAGCGGGUUCGUCGGUAGUUCGUGACCUGCCAAGGCCAAUUCUGCCACGCUGGGACAAUGGACAGCCAAGAAUUUUCACAAGUACGCGUGCUUCUUCCUGCCGAGUGCCGACCAUAGUUCAGACGCCCCGAGCCCCGAGGGCGCCCGGCCGAGACGUUGCCGCGACGCGGCGUGCUCGCAGGUCGCAGCAUCCACGAAAAAGGACUUGGCCAGUUGUUCACAUCACACUCGGUGAAUCGCAUCGCACAAUACGCGCGCGCCGCCGGUUCUGCUGCAUCCGCAUGGGGUCCAUGCCCGCCACCGCCUGGCGUCUGGACAGACGCCUCCACCAGCACAAGCGACCGAGGCCCCAUGCGGGCUGCGGCCCUGCUCGCGGAGGCGCAACGCGGGUUCGUCAUCCAUGGCCGGCACUGCCCUCGCGGAGGGAGAGGGUGCGCCACCGUGCCGGCGCAUCGCAUGCAGUGGUGGACGUGGACGCGCGCGUACUCUGCCGCCCUAGGGUACUGCGACCGCCUGCGUGGACAGUGUCAGGCUGCAGCGUACGAGCUGUUCCAGACUUCCAGCGCCUCAGAGUCUCGGACUCAGUGUCAGAGCCCACCACCUGCAGAGUGCAGACACGCCAUGGCUUCGGAUAGCCUAGCUUAUUAGCUUCAGCAGGAUGCACAUUUGAAGUUACGGGUAGCUUCAGCCUUCAGCAGAAUGCUGACUGCACAUUUGAAGAGCCGCUUGCAGGCUGGUCGAUUGUAUACACAAAGAGGACCAUGUUUGAAGGCUGUGGCCUGGAUUACUCCAUUGUAACCUGAGACGCUGAAGCUGAAGAUUUUUUUUUAUUUACUUCUAGAUCAAGAACAAAGAAGGCAAGUACAGAUUGCAUUGAUAUAGAGAAGACGCAUCGAUACAUCGCGAGACUCAACGACAGCACAGCACAGGACAGAACACCGCCACUUCCUUCUGCACCUAAACGACCCCAAGAAGGAGAGAACAACCGGAGGAACGUACCAGCUGCUACAAACCACACGCCACCGGAUGCGGUCUGUCUCUACGCGCCGUACUUGUAGCUCCCGAUGUCCUCCGAGAUCAUCUCGAGGUCCCUGGAGGCCACGGCCAUGGACAUGGCCCGCCGGUGGCGCCCCGCCUGCCUGGCCGCCUGCAGCUCCGAGGCGUCCGCCGCCGCGGGCUUCCGCUGCUCGGCGCCGCCCUCCGCCACCGCCGCCGGCACGUCCUCCAGCGCGAAGUUCUCCGGGAGCACGAACACGCUCUGCGACGCCCGCCUCUGGUGCCUGCCCGCUCUCUGCGACAUCUUUGCGGCGCUCAACAACACCUACAACGACAGGGCUUGGCCUCGUGCGGCUGUUUCCACUAGGCAGAGGAAAGAGUGCUCGAGCUACCUGCUUGGGAGCUAAGGACGAGGUGGCUGCUAUAUAUAGCCUGCCCGGCGCAUGCUCGAGGUCGGGGAAGGAAAAUGUUUUCCCAUGACACUUCAUGAGUCAUGACCAUGAGCAGUUCAGCAUCUCACCAGUACAGAAUUGUACAGUAAUUUGUACGUUCACACCGCCGGCCUAUGCGUACACGGAUCUGACAUCCUGACAGUUUCUGCUUCCCGAGGGCGCUGACUUGUGGCAGAUGCAUGUGCAGACGUGCGUCUGCAUGGCCCUCCAGCAUUUCGUCAGGCUCUCCCCUGAAUCCCUGAUCGCGAGAGGAAAUGGCGUCUUGCUGAAUGGGCGCUCAUCUGGCGCCUCAUCAGGAUCUACAUCACCGCAUCAGCGUGCGAUCUCUGCAGCCAUGGCUGCUGAGCUCAACUUGGGCCUGCAAGCUGCGAUCAACUUGGCACGUACUGUCUGCUGACUUGCCUGGCGAGUGCAGGGCAUAUGAAUUUUCUGCUCGUAUACGAUGUCUCCAGGAAGCUUCCUGCUAGGUAAAACAAAUGGUGUUCGUGAAGCGUUUGUACCGGAAUCUUAGGACCGAGCCCGCCAAUUUUAUUGGGUAAGUGCUGCACUCAUGAUCCAUUCUGGCGUUGUUAACUGAGACCCCACGUGCAAACCGGGAGAAGGAAUCCGCCAACGAAACCAAUCACAGAGGAAGGAGGAGUAAUCACCAGUUCAUAAAGAAGUGUGCCGGUACGGAUCGAAAUCCUGCCUAACGGUUUCUCAUUGCAAGUUUCUGAUAACAUUAUUAGCUCGAUAUAUCGACUAUUUCAGGUUUUCAGUGCUAGCAAAUCUGCAACUGAUUUGAUUGCAUAUAUCCCUCACUCAGUUUACUCUCUUAUCACAACGGAAUCUCUCUCUUUUUUCAUAUUGUUUUCUGUACUACGCCCUGAUCGAGCUGGAUGCUUAUGCAACCAGAAAAGAAUCGAUAAGGCCAGUGGUGUUUAACUGUUAAAGAUGGCACCCGUGCAUGUUAGUAGAUUCCAAAAUCCUGGCCCUCGUGUCCAGCCUCACAUGGGCUGCUCACAUGGCUCCAUCGACCGGGCCAUGAUAAGCCCACCCUUGUACAAAUUAUUGGUGUCCCCUCCGCGCUCGUGUGCAUCGCCAUAAUGUGUGAGAAUAAAACAAGAUACACCUCAGCAUUCCCAACGUCCUGAAUAAGAAAAGGUACUGUAUUGUACUGUAUUUUCCUAGAAAAAAGUUCAUUAAAAUGCUAAAAAGUUAAUAAUGGGUAUAUAUGCUUAAAUUUAAGAUGUGAACAAAUUUUGUUAUAUAGUUGUUAACUUGUUAUUAUUAAUAACCGGUAAAGGAAGAAAACAAAUAAUAAAAGAGAGUCAUUCUGCGCGUUGCGGCCGGGCCUAACCGCCUAAUGGGGGCCUGGGCACAGCCCAAAACAGCAGCCGUGCUUGGGCCACUUAGCGUGGCACCGCAUGUCGGCCCGGGAACGGCCUGUUAAGGGCCCGCACCACUCCCACACCUCCCCCAUACAAAAGGUUGCCCCAACCCUAGCCCUUCAUUUUCCCCUCCCCGGUUUUCCAGCAGCCGCCGCGCGCUGCUCCCUCGUUUCACCCCUCCCCCUCAUCUCGGCGGCGCUAUUCGGUCUUCGCAGGGCCCUUUGCCGGCGACGAGCACCCAGCAGGUAUGCCCUCCCCUUCUCCACCCUUCCUGCUGUGUGGAACAGAGCACCACAAACCCUAAUAUAAGCUAUCUGUAUUCGGAUCCCACCCAGUUACAAUACUAUUACAUAAGAGCUUCGAUUUUGCUUGCAAAAUUAUCGAGUGUACAUGCGUACACCCAUGUCCUAUGCUGGGUCCGCCCCAACUGGAAUGCACGGUUUAUCUGCUUUAUGUAUUUGCUUUGUGAUGUAAUAGCAUUCCGCUUUUGGCCGUGCAAUAACAUUAGAAAGUUGGUAUGUAGCAAUUACGAUUUGCCAAGUCCUUUUUACUGUUCGUUGGUUUCUGCCUGCUUAUAGAAGUCCUCCAUAAUCCAGAAAUGAAAUGAAGUUUCAACUCUUCUGCUGCACGGAAUGUAUUUGGCUCGUCACCUCUAGCUAGUGUGUAUUCAUCCAUGGAGGAUCAUAUUGAUGCUAUGCUUCUGUCCGUAGCCAGUUUUGCGUUUGUCUGUACUGUGAUAACUGAUAAGAACGAGUUUCAGUACUUUUUACAUUUAAUGUGCGUUUUUUUAGCUUGUGGAAGAUCAUUCACACUUGCCUAGGCUGUUCUGAAUGCCGUACAUAGUAGUACUCCCUCCGUUCCAAAUUGUAACUCAUUCCAAGAAUAUUGGAGAGUCAAAGCAUCUCAAGUUUGACCAAAAUUAUAGAGAAAAAUAUAAAUAUUUAUGACAUCAAAUAGAUAUAUUAUGAAAAUAUAAUUGAUAAAGAAUCUAAUGAUACUUCGUUAACAUCAUAAAUGUUAUUAUAUUAUCAUAUAAAUUUGGUCAAACUUGAGAUACUUUUACUCUCCAAGAUUCUUGGAAUGACUUACAAUUUGGAACGGAGGGAGUAGUUGGUUUCUGUGACACUUGGGUUCAAUUCAUCAACUUUUUUGUGGUUUUGGCACUUCAGUAUUAUUUAAGGUAGACGAGGCUUAUUCUUCCAUGUUGGUUCUUCUUGACUGCCAAUCUGCUAGUGUUGUAUUGCAGUCUGCAGCUUCUCUGUUACUUAGUUUUUGGCCAACAUAAAUGGGUCUUGACUGUCUCAUGUCAACUUCGAUAUCAGUUGUAGCUCAAUAUGGUUAUCAAUUUACAAAAUAAUUUAUAUCUGACCUUGAAUCGUGGACUGUUUUUUACACUUUGGUUAAUUGUACUUAUUUAGAAUGGUUGCACUCUUAAGCUGCCUUUCACAACUUUUUUGAUGGUGUUCUGCAGGUAAGGUCAUUAUGGUUAGAGUCAGUGUUCUCAAUGAUGCUCUGAAGAGCAUGUAUAAUGCUGAGAAGCGUGGGAAGCGGCAAGUCAUGAUUAGGCCGUCAUCCAAGGUCAUUAUCAAGUUUCUUAUGGUCAUGCAGAAGCAUGGUUAGUUAUCAAUUUUUAUCCUAACAAUUUUUGCUUUCAUGGAGGAUGGGGUCCCUGAUACUUUUAUUGUGCUGUGCAGGCUACAUUGGUGAGUUUGAGUAUGUGGAUGAUCACAGGGCAGGAAAAAUUGUGGUUGAACUGAAUGGCAGGCUGAACAAGUGUGGUGUCAUCAGUCCUCGCUUUGAUGUUGGAGUGAAGGAAAUUGAGGGAUGGACAGCCAGGCUACUCCCGUCUCGUCAGGUUUGUUGCUUGGCGAUGUUACCAACUCCAAAUACCUAAAUUGUGACGAAUUGUCUGUGUUUUGGGCACUGCUGAUCUUUCAGUGGUAAAUUGAUUAACUUGCCCCUUGGGACUUGCAGUUUGGUUACAUUGUUCUGACUACAUCUGCUGGCAUCAUGGACCAUGAGGAAGCCAGGCGAAAGAAUGUUGGUGGCAAAGUUCUCGGUUUCUUCUACUAAAAUGGAAAUUUUUGCAAGGAGCAUCAGUUUUUUUGUCUGAAUAGCUGGAGAGAUGAGCUUAUGAAGCAUGUUUGUUGUUUUGUUAAUGUUUUGGCUUUUAUGAUAUUUGAGGUGUAGUUGAAUGUUCGCUUGUUAGACACCAAACUGUGCUCAACUUAUAUAGUUGGCAUCUGGAUUUUAAUCGAAUUAAGCUAUGGUACUUUCUCGUUGUGUUGACUAUCUCCAAAUACGCUCUUUUGACUUGUGUUAAUUCUUGUAUGUUCCCAAGUGCAAGUGAAGUCUGAAACUCAGAACUGGUUUGUUUCAGAUGUCAAUGACCUGGAUAAUAUGUCAUUAGUCUGGAUGCUGCUGAAAUGUAGUACCUGAAGUAUAUGAUUUAAAAUUUUAGAAAAUCUCUAUUUGCUACUCUCUCCGUUUUGAAUUGUAGGUAGAUAUAAGUGUAUGUCUAGAUGAACCUAGAAAAAUCAAAACAACCUACAAUUUGGAAAUUUGGAAUGAGGGAGUACAUUACAUAUGGGUCACACACUCACACCUGUAUACGCCGUUAUUCCCAAACUAAUUUAUGCUAGCUGGCUAGUAUGUAGUUUCGUAGAGCAUAUACAUCAGAUGUACCAAUUAGGAUGAAACUUCACAAAGAAACUUCACAAAGAGAACAUCUCUGAAAAGCAACAAAACGUCACAACAAGCUCUACAAACGUAUACAGUGGCCUGCACCAUAUGGUACUUCACUAAAUACUGAUGUAUUAUUGCUGACUUAAUAUAGAUAACAACGGAUACAUGAAGUUGCAUUUCUACAGUGACUCAUGAGCUAGGGGCGGUAAUACACGCGCUCAAUUACCAUCUUCUCACGGAGGAGGAAGAUCUGCCAAAGAUGUAUAGUUGCCCUACAUGGCCGAACACCAGCUGCCUCCGCCGUCAGCCCGUCACCGUCGAAGCUGUCGCCGCCGCACUCGCUGCCGGCGAAGCCGAGGGAGCAGCCUGCUUGAACUACAUGGCAGCGGCAUCAGGACAAUGUUGGGGUAGAGAUUAGAGAGGCACACCCCGGUAAAGGGUCCUCCAUGGAAGGUGUUGGAUGAGGAUGCAUAUAUAGGGAGCUUGAGGCUUGUCCCGGCGAGUGGAAGCCUAGGUGGGUGACGGCCUUUUUCGCGAACCGGAAUGCGGUAUCUUCCUUAGCAUAUUCUUGAGCACAUGGAAACUUCUCCCCUUUUCCUGUUCCAUGCUUUGCUUCGCUUUCGAGUAUUCAAAGGAUAUUCCAUGCCUUUGCGUGCCUUUCUCUGGACGUAGAGUUGGAGUGGCUUGACGAAGCAUGGGCUGGAAAGCUGGUUAGGGUUAGCUGUGGUCACGACGUCACGUAGAAGAGUCUUGCCUGGUGCUUUGUUUGUUC
rnacentral:lncRNA from 1 species